UACACACACGCACAACACAGACAGGAACAGGGACAUGAGUAAAUGCUUUUGAUCCAUUGUCAAUUAUUAUAUGCAUAAUGCAUUAUACAUUUCGAAAGGAGGUUAUGAAAUGUUAUAAGAUACUUAAAAGAAUGAUAUGUUACUAACCAAUAAGAACUGUCAUAGUCAGUUAAAUAAUGCUUUAUAUUAUUUUGAUACCGUGAAUAUUUAAGAUAUUGAGUAACAGGAUAGAUGCAGCUGACCGCAGGAUUUGUAUGUGGUAUUGUUGGUUGUUGUUGCAUAUUUUCACUUGUAAAACCAUAUCAUGCGAGUUUUUUUAUUGUUUCUAACAAAAUUAUACGACAUCAAAAUAAGUCAUCUACGCUAACAUAAACUAAGUUAACUUGCAGCUGCAGUUCCAGCUCGUCCGCAGUUCAUUGUUCCUGCACAAUCGCCACAAUUCACUCAGGGCAGUGGUUCUGACUGAACAGCUGUGGUUGAGAGGAGCAUCAUGAAUUAAAACAUCUUGAGGUAUCCUUAGAUUGCAGCAGGACUGAGAACAGCAGUGCUGCUUGUGUGGCAUGCUUAUCUUUUGCCUUGCAAGCUAUCAUCUUUGCAUUCUAAAGGUCUUCUUUAUUCAUUAUUGUUCACCAGAGACAUCACCACAGAGUUUCCUGAAACCACUUUGAAUCUUUGUACUGCUGCUGCUGUGAAAAGUUUGUAAAUAUAUACCCAUACACUGGAGUCCGACAACCCAAUCGGUAUGUACAUAUGAUUCUUAAUGUAAAAGAGAAUAUAUGUAAAUUUAUGUCACCAUAGAAUCAAAUGUGAUUCUUUUUAGAGCCGGACGUGAUGACUUUCUGGUUUUGUUCCGUGUGUAGUUUCUUGGAAAAAAAAAAAAAACUUGGUCACUGGACUUGUAGAUGUACUCGGUGAUUUCUGAUGGGAUCUUGUAAAUACUGUGACGAUUGUUCUCUGGAAUUUAUGGAAUUUAUCUGUUGGACAA